UACGAAGGGGGCUAGCGUUGCUCGGAAUCACUGGGCGUAAAGGGCGCGUAGGCGGGAUGGCAAGUCGGUCGUGAAAUCCUUCGGCUCAACCGAAGAACGUCGGCCGAUACUGCCGUUCUUGAGGGAUGCAGAGGAGAUUGGAAUUCCUGGUGUAGCGGUGAAAUGCGUAGAUAUCAGGAGGGAACACCGGUGGUGUAGACGGCUUACUGGAC
rnacentral:rRNA from 1 species